rnacentral:lncRNA from 1 species
AAACCGAGGAGCAUUGAGAGACAAACAUGAGGCAUGAUCAAAUACUGCUUACAGUUUCAUAGUGCUGAUAAAUUUGCUUAAUCUCAUGAGAUGUAAAACAACGGUAGAUCCAGAAGUUGAUUAUGGCUAUGAGCUGAAACGAACUCCCGAGCAAAUAAAAACAGUUAGAAAAACACAAAUUAUUCCUGACUAUUGGACAAGGCGCCAAAUGAAACAAUUCAUGUGAGUAAUUACUAAAAUACGAGUGUAACUGAAUUUUUAAUUGCAUGUUAAUGUUCACAUAUGCACCAGCCUCCUACAUUUCUUUGCGACAAAGCCCAAGGCUCCAUCUUAUCCGUUUGGAUGCCAUGUUUUAUGAUAAAUAAAUAUCAUAAUUUGGAUUGGAAUAGUAUAGAGUUAUCAAAUAUCGACGGUAAAAACUGCAAAAAUGCGUGUCUCGGUUGUGAUAUUUCAAAAUUUACGCACUUAUUUUAUUUUUUUGAAAGAGACCGAUCCAACAUCAUUGCAUGAAAUUUUCACAGAAUAUUCUUAAAAAGGGAUGAGAAAUCACUGAGAAAUUGACUCAUUCAUCCACACUCAUUCAUUUUUAUUGAUAUAUUUAUUUUUCAAACUUUAAUAUCAAGAUAGAAUGGAUGGACCGGAAUGGAAAAUAUGGUCUUUGCGCUAAGCUUGGAAACGAAAUAACUAGAGUUCAUGAGCUAGAGUGCCGACCAUUGUGGGUUAACUACAGAACGUUCCUCAAGGAAGUGCAUACGCUGAUGAUGAUAGGUCUGGAUGAACCGUCAGCUCAAAAUCGCUCUUCCAGUCUGUUCCUGUACUGGCUCGUCAGCGACAUUCCAGCGCAUAGUUAUGAAAAUGAGCAACUACCUGCUCUCGAUUAUGUAAGGGGAGACACGAUUUUCGAUUACAGGGAACCGAGGCCUUUGCUAGGAACAGGACUUCACCGAUAUGUGUUCCUUGUUUAUGCACACGGAAAUAGAACGAUAAAUUGUACAAUGAAAAAACUGAAUCAGAGUGAUGUCACAGGACGGCCUCAUUUCAACUUGAAAGACUUUGUUAGACAAUAUGACCUUGGAGAACCGUACGCUGUUAAUUUCUUUGUGGCUCAAUGGCAGAAGCCCCUAUACACUACUACUACUUCAGACCCGAACGAACCAACAACACUCGUCGUGGAGCAUCUUUCGGAGAGAUGGGGCGGGGCUAUUCGAAUGAGGAGUAAAAAAGUUAAGGAAAAAGACUCGUAGAUAUUCUAUUGUAGCACUAAUGCUAUCUUGGAAUAGCGAAAGUAUCUAUUGGUUACAAAAUAAGUGGAUUUUUUGUUUGCCAAAAAUUGUUUUUUGUUUUGAUUUUUGUUUCGCAAAAAAUACGUCUUUUUUGCACUGAUACUAGGGAAUUAAUAGUAUUACGUAGGUUGUCCUAUUAUAACCGGCAGUUGGCCUUGUAUUUGUGAUAUACCCAUGUCUCUUUUAGCAGAAAAAAAAUCCAGUUUUCCAAUGAUUAAUAUUGAGUUUAUGAAGACCACAAAAAGCCAAGAUGACCUAUACACGGUAGGAAUGAAAUUACUUGAGCUGCAUCUUCAAAUUUAGUUGUUUGGUCAAAUUCAACCGUUUCCAUCAUGUAUGAGAAUGAAAUGAAAUAGAUCUAAGGAUGGAUCGACUGACUCCAAAAUUUAAAAAUAAAUCGAUUUCGUGAGUUUCAGCCCUGGGAACAAAAAAAAGCAGCACCUAAUUAACUAUCAGCUUUGUCAAGGAGCUAAAAGACAAUUUUAAAGUUUGUGGUAUCCUUCUGGAUUCGUAAAAGCGGUGGAAAAUGCAGAACAAUACAUUUCUUUAGUAAAGUCCCUGAUAUUAUUUCGCAGAAAGAGGCUUAUUCUUUUGAGGCAGUAAAUUAACACACUUCUGGAGAUACGUCUCGAGCGAUCGUAUAUCUAUGGAUUCUGUGUCAACUGAGGAACUACCCAAAGGCAAAGGACCGGCUUGUGUAGACAGGCCGGUCUGGAAUAAUUCUUCUUUAAUCACCCAAACAAUGAUGUCGGACUGUGAACAGUAUAUUGCAUAUGAACUGAAGCUGGAAGUACGAGAACGAAGCCGCAGUAGGUCUGUGGUGACUAAGCGAUUAAUCUGUCUUUUAAUCGGCCUUAAUUUUUAACCCUCCAACUUUACAAUGCAGUAUUAUACUUUUUAAUAAAAUUUGUUUUAAACAUUUUUGAAGUAUGAUUAAAGCAUAUGUCGCUGUUUCCCUUCUUCUGUCGAGUGAUACUUUCCAAACGUUACAUACACACAUUGCUAUUGAAACAUUCAUUAAAAAAAACCCAACCUCGGUUCUCAUUUUUUUUUCAUGUCUCGGGCGAAAUCAGUCAACAUUAGAAACAUUUUAGUUACGUCUAUUUUUUUACCAAUAUUAUUUUCGUGUAUAUUUAAGCUUUUCCGAAAAGUUCAUCGAACUCACUUUUAUUUACUCUCAUUCCAAUUUCUACGGAAAGCAAAUAUUUCGUAAGAAAUAAACCUCAUCCGAAUUUAAAAAGUUCUGCCAAGCAAAGAUAAAAGAGGUUCGUCGAGUCUCAGCGCCGAUCGCCUUCAAUUCUGCUUGAUACACUACGCUUUACCGCGUGGUUAGUUUAGUUGCGUGACCAAAGUUAAUCCACCUCAAGUGGCUCAGGUUCCCACUUUUGCAUCAACGUAAAAAGUGGACGUAACGUAAGUAAACGUUGUUCUUCUCACUCUGCCCCCCCUAGAAAAAAAUUGGCCGAAGCGAUUUCCUUUAAAAUUGGUGCACGCUUAGCUAUUGUAACGAGGAGUUGAUUAAAAUUAUUCCCAUUCAAAUCCGCUGCCUAGGACGCCUACAAGAGCGAAAAGUUGUUUCUCCCUAUAGUAUUGCACUGGAGAUACGCGGUUGUUUACGCGCACCGCGCCGAACAGGUUCAAUCCUGUUGCGUGACGACACAGCCUUAUAGACGAAAUU